CUCAGCCUCCCAAGUGCUGGGAUUACAGGUGUAUGCCACCAUACCCAGCUCCCUCUUUCUUGACUUUAGUAAUUCAGCAUUCUUUUAUUUUUGUCCCUUACUUGGUUCAGCUAAAAUUUUGUCUUUUUUUUUUUUUUUUUUUUGAGAGGAUCUCCCUAUAUAGCUCAUGCUGCCACUGGACUUGCUAUGUAAGCCCAAGCUGGCCUCAAAUUUGAGAUCCUCCUGUCUCAGCUUCCCAGUACUGGGAUUACAGGCAUGUGCCACCACAUCUGGCUAAUGUAUUUUGUUACAAAAAAUUUUUUUGAUUCUGUUUUUUUUUUUUUCUGUAGUAUUUGUCUAUUCUAUAUCUGCCCUUCUAAAUCCCUUAAUGGUAUUUUAUUGGGUUGUUUUGUUUUUUUGGUUUUUUUUUUUUUUUUUGGUACCAGGGAUCCAACUCAGAACCUUGAGCUUUUGAGGCAGGCAGCGGAACCACUGAGCUAAAUCCCCAGCCCUCUUAAUGGUAUUUUAAGUGAACACGUUUUAAUUUGAAUGUUGAUCAACGUUUUCUUUUAUCAUUUGUGCUUUGUAUCCUGAUUUUUUUUCUUUGUAUCCUGCUUAAGAAAUCUUUGUGAUCUAAAGAUUAUGAAGAUUUUUCUUCCAAAGUCACAUUCUUUUUACGUUUUCCAUUUGGAUAUGUGACCCAUCUGAAAUUGAUGUGUGUAAGGUAGGGUCAAGAUUCCUUUUUCCAAAUUAAGACAUGUUAUGUACAUGUACCAGCUCCUCACAAGGAACGUAAGCAUUAUGUCAUACAAACGAGCACUAAAAAAAGAAUAUAAUGAGGCACUCUAAAAUGGUUAAAACAGCAAAUAAUCAUGUAUAUUUUAUCACAAAAAUAUCACAAGUAGCCCACAGAGUCAUUGUAAAGUUUAAAAGACAAUAUAAGGCGCUAACACCUACAAAUGCUCAGAAAAUGUUGGCUAUCAUUGCCCUCAUUUUGCCCCUCUUCCUCCUCAUCAUGAGGUUUUCCCAUUCAGAAAGGGAUCUUAUCUCAGAGGGCUAUCAAUCCUCCAACUGCCUAGAAAGAGGGCCUUGGUCGGGCCUUACAAAUAGGAUACAUAUUGUGAACCUUGAGACUAACUGGAUACAUUUUCAAGGCUAACAGAGAGGACAUAACAGAAUACCUGUUGUGAAUACUAAAGCUAACAGGAUAAACAUAUAUAUUUUGUGGUGGCUUACACUGUGAUUAUAUAAAGUAUCACUCAUUGGGAGGGUUUGUGGAUCUGCCUGUUUCUGGAUAAGGCCUGUGAGAAUUCUUAAGGCUUAAAGACCUGAAAGUUGAAAACUUUUUUUUUUUUUUGAGACGGUCUUGCUGUGUGGUUCAGGCUGGCCCUGAACUCACUAUGUAGCCCAGGCUGGCCUUGAACUUGUGGUGAUCCUCCUGCCUCUGCCUCCUGAGUGCUGGGAUUACAGGUGUGUGCCAGCAUGCCUGGCUAAAAGUUUAAAACUUUAGCAAUAAAACUUCCGAACUGAGAGGAAUGUUCAUUUCUUCUGUGAUCUUUCUUUCCUGCUCAUUUUUAAAAGUGCAUACCAAGCAUUGGGGUUAAAAUGGUCAGCAAGAUAGACAUGAUCUCUGACUUAUCAGAACAUAUUAGAAAAAGAGCUUACCACCUAGGAGGGGAGACUACUACCAGGCCUAUUGGUACAUACCUGUAGUCCCAGCACUAGGGAGGCUCAGGCAGGGGGAUUGCCGUGAGCUCAAAGCCAGCCUGGGCUACACAGUCAGUUCAAGGCCAGCGUGAACUACAUAACGAGACCCUAUCUCAAAAAUAAAUAAAUAAAUACAAACAACUACAACAUGGAACACAUCCUUUUCAGCCCGGAGGCUCAUGGGUAGGGAAGGUUAUCAGGAAGAGCGCAUCAGGAGGAAUAACUCUACACUGAGAAUGAAAGACUGAGUAGGGGUGAAUCAAGGGAAGAGUGGGAAGAGAAAAGAGAUUAAAGAGGACUGGGGAUUUAGCUCAGUGGUUUCGCUGCCUGCUGUGCAAGCGCAAGUACCUGAGUUUGAUCCCCGGUACCAAAAACAAAAAAAAAGAGAUUAAAGAGAAAGGGAGAGAGAGAGAGGGAGGGAGAGAGGGAGAGAGACAGAAACUAUAUGGGAGAGAAGCUUUAGUUUAGCAGAAGUCCAAAGGAAACAGUGGGAGAUGGGUUGGGAAGAGAAAAGAGGCUCUCGUUACAGAAAGUAUUAUAGACAGGCUAAGUUAUGUAGAAAUUCAUAUGCAGUCAGAGAGGGACUGGGCUCUCAAGGAAGUCAGUGCAGAAGAUGAGCACACAUCAGAUCUGGCUGGAGGCACAUCUAAAGAAAGUGAGGCUUGCCAGGGAUUUAGCUCAGGGGUUUCACCGCCUGCUGCCCAAGCGCAAGAACCUGAGUUCAAUCCCCAGUACCAAAAAAAAAAAAAAAAAAAGAAAAUAAAGAAAGUGGGGCCUUGAGAUAAAGUCACAAAGGCUAGACUUGCAUACCUCCCUAAGGGAUGAAUGGAAACUGGAGAUUAUACUGUCAUUGGUACCACCCUGUCCAUUAAAUCCAGAUAUGCAUCAGACACCACAAUGGGUGACCACAACACCUGGACUCAUCCCUUCCCCAAAUUGUUCCUGGUUUAGAAGUCUUUUUUUUUUUCUUUUUGGUACUGGGGAUCGAACUUGGGUCCCUGUGCUUGCAAGGCAGGUGGCAGAACCACUGAGCUAAAUCCCCGGCCCUAGAAGUCUUAAAGAAGCCAAGGUUAGUGAUUUCAGUUGUAUAACCUUGCUAUGUGCAUGCCCCACUUCCCUACUGGAUCAAUAUUAGCUAAGGGACUAUUCUCAUACUCUUAUUGGUUGAUUAUAGUUUGGUCCACAUUGUACCCAUCUUGUGAUUCUGUACCCACCUCGUGAUUUUGCACUAUAAAACAGUAUUGGAGAGGCAGGAAUUUAGCUCAGUGGUACUGUGCCUGUCUCACAAGUGCAAGGUCAUGAGUUCAAUCCCUGGUACUAAAAAAAAAAUUUCUUGGAGAAAUGACCUCUGUGGCAAUCCACCCCUCUGGAGCUAUUUCUCAAUAAAUCUUUCCUACUCUUUUUUUUUUUUUUUGAGACAGGGUCUCGCUAUAUAGUCCAGGCUGGUAUUGAACUCACUAUGCACCCCAGGCUGGCUUCGAACUUGCGGCGAUCCUCCUGCCUCAGCCUCCCAAGUGCUGGGAAUACAGGUGUGCACCACCAUGCCCGGUUUUUUCCUGCUCUUAACCUUCAUUGUUCCUUGGAAUUCAUUCUUCGACUUUGGGUGACAUGAACUCAGCGCAUCUGACAUAUAGCAGUAGCUAUUUGUGGGUGUACAGUAACCCAACAAAAAUGUCUCCAGGAAUCGUCUCAGGCCCACUGGAUGGCACCACACAUCAGGGCCAUUGUCUCAACUCUGUAGCCCUUUGUCCUGGUUCACCGUCCCCUGUUCAGAGAAUUUCCUGGCAAAGAUGCAAAGAGCCACGGCUCAGCAGAUACAACUGUCCUGGACUCAGACUCUGAUGACUCCCCAUUUGUGAGAAGCAGCUUUACACUGUCACCUAGGAGUGAAGAGACUUAAAAAAAAAAUCAUUGAUGUCCACUCUAAGUGAAGUCACUCUCACUUCUGCCUGUACCACUGUGAUAGCCUCCUGACAACUCUCCCAAUGUCUAGUCUUGCCUCUGAACAAUACUGUGUUGAUCCUCUAAAAUCAACCCACAUCAGAGCCAGAACAAUGGAAGAAGGCAUGGCCCUCGGGUAUUGCUCAAAUUCAGGACAAGAAGAACCUGGAAAGGAUCUCUAGAAGGGGCCCACAGCACUCCAGAACCCCAGUAAUAUUUUUGGCAAAGCCAGCCAGAAGAUGAGAAGAUCCUGGAAACUAACUCCAGACUCCUUGGACACCUUCUAUCCCCACUGGAUGUCUCAUCCUGCUCCUGAGAGAGGUCCCAGUGUAACCAGCUCCCUCUAGCUCUUGGGUCCUUGUUUGGGGGCAAUGAAAAUUGAAGCUGACAAAUCAGCAAACAGCAAGUGGUGGGGAAUGGUCAAAUGUGUGUUUAUUAGAAAAAAUAAAAGGUGGGCUGGGGAUUUAUUUAGCUCAGUGGUUCUGGCACCUGCCUUGUGAGCGCAAGGUCUGGAGUUCGAUCCCCAGUACCAAAAAAGAAAGAAAAAGAAGGAAA